AAUAUGUGUUUCUUAGGUUCACGGUACAGAAGAAGGGUCGGGCUACCACCAGGAUCAGAAAACUACACAUGGAAUUGCUCAACACUUCUACGAAAGCCGUGUGAACUUGGGCGCCGAAAUGUAUAAGAAAAUGGCCGUUUAAGUGUUCCUCGCUCGCCCUGGUGAGAAUGCUUACUCGUGUAGUCGGAAACUCAUCAUAGGCAAGGCAGGUGGUGGGUGAGGGGGGCCGGCAAGGUGGUAGGUGAGGGGGGCGGGUGGGGGGCACGCUUCAACCCGAUAUUUAUUGCUCCCACCAGACCAGGGGAGCGCGGACCCCUUAUGUGCUGCGUUAUCUCUCCUCCGUCUCUCUUUCCCUCUUCUCUCCGGGUUUCCUCCUUCCCCUUCCCUCCCUUCCUCCUCUACGGGACUAUCGCCUUUACCUUACCUUCGAACGUUUAGGUGAAUUGAUGUUGAGUUCUGUUAUCGUGUUCAAGUUGUCUCCUUCCCUUAGUGUUAAACGUUAAAAUGAUGAUGCAUAAUUUUCUAUCGUCUUUUCUUUAUUUAGUUUGACAUUUAUUUAGGAGAUUGAUUCUGAAUACUCGAUCGUGUUAUAUAUUUACAUUUUUGUCCUUUUUUUUAAUUUCCCAACUGUAGUUCUUUAGUAUCAAACGUGUUUUUGUGUUGUUUCUGAGUACUCGAUCGUUUAUAUAUAGUUUCUCUUCGGCGCGAUUUUUGAUAAGCCUCUGGUAACCUAUUUUCCAUUCUUUCCAGGGCAGAGGUCACGUAUUUCGCUGGAGAGUGUGUCAACCCUUCAGUCUGACCUGUGAUGACUUGUCUUGGUGCGGGUCCAACGUGUCCUAGCGAGGCUGUGGUCCGGCACGCGGCUCGCCAGGUGGAUGGAGCUGCCGGGGCGACAGGUGGCCAGGUUCCUCGCGUGGCUCCUCCAAUACCGUAACAAUAAGUGGGCGCUUAUGGCGGACGGUCACACGCAGCACGAUUUGCCUCGGUAAG